GCCCCGUUAGCUCAAUUGGAUAGAGCAUCUGAGUUCUAAUCAGAGGGUUAGGUUCGAAUCCUAUACGGGGUGCCA
rnacentral:tRNA from 1 species